rnacentral:rRNA from 1 species
AGAGUUUGAUCAUGGCUCAGAUUGAACGCUGGCGGAAUGCUUUACACAUGCAAGGUCGAACGGCAGCACGGGGCAACCUGGUGGCGAGUGGCGAACGGGUGAGUAAUACAUCGGAACGUGCCCAAUCGUGGGGGAUAACGUAGCGAAAGUUACGCUAAUACCGCAUACGAUCUACGGAUGAAAGCGGGGAUCGCAAGACCUCGCGCGAAUGGAGCGGCCGAUGUCAGAUUAGGUAGUUGGUGGGGUAAAGGCUCACCAAGCCAACGAUCUGUAGCUGGUCUGAGAGGACGACCAGCCACACUGGAACUGAGACACGGUCCAGACUCCUACGGGAGGCAGCAGUGGGGAAUUUUGGACAAUGGGCGCAAGCCUGAUCCAGCCAUUCCGCGUGCAGGAUGAAGGCCUUCGGGUUGUAAACUGCUUUUGUACGGAACGAAACGGCGAGCUCUAAUACAGUUUGCUAAUGACGGUACCGUAAGAAUAAGCACCGGCUAACUACGUG